AACAAACCCCUCCCAUCCCAACUAUAAGCCCCAGUGCAGCCAUUGCAUUGGUUAUUGGGUGCUGCAACUUGUCACCACCAACACCUGAAUGGCACGUGUCCUUCCCUCUAAAACCCAGGGGUGCUUAUAGCAUGUGGGAGAUACUGAAAAAUAUUGAAAGAGCUUUCUACUACAUGAAGUUUCUUCUUUGCCUUUUUCAAGUUUCACCCUUAUUUUUAAUCUUUGUUCGAGUCAGUAAGAUUUUCAUGACCCCAUUUGAUCAUUGUGCGCUCAUAGAGCAAUGGCAUUUAUGCGAAAAGGCUCAAACUCAGGCACCAAACAGCUUUAAGGAGGCUCUUGAUGGAGCACCGACGAUCGUCACGUCAGCAGACAUAUAUUGUGUUUGGAGAUUGAAGAAUUCCCAAACUGAUCAUACGUACCAGACUGAAAGUUAAUUAUAUUGCAGAUUUUCAUGCUCUGUCGUGCUGA